UUUACGCCACUAAAAAGAAGAUUAAAGUUGGAUUUCAAAUGUUUAAAUAGAUUAGGUAUGAAAUAGUACUGUACAUAAGUUUAUGUAUAGAUUUAACUUUUUUGGAAAAAUUGGGUCUGAAAAAGCCAAUUUUCCCCUCAAACCGCCGAUUCAAAUCUCGUUGUUCAUCUACUUAUCAUCGAACCAGAUCCCCUCGCUGUCUCCAUUAACUCUUUCCCAACCGCAAUCCAACAACCACCCCAUCAUCAAAGAGAAAACCAGAACUGGAUCACCUCAUCAAGCGAAGCCACAGAUGCACCAAGGGAGAUACCAGUUAACCGAGGAGCAAUUACACCAAGAAAGUCUAUCAAAGGUUCGAAAGGGGUCCAAGGAUCGGACCAAAAUUUACUGUGGUGCCCAUUACCAGGUAUCACUUUCACCCAUUGAAUCAUCCAUUUCAUUAUUCGAAUAAUCUCUUUGAAUAUCCAGGAAUAUUUUUGCUUCUCCUUGAUCUCCCAGAUGCUCUCAUCUUUAAUGACAUUUUGAUGGAUCCAUGCUACCCAAAUCGAUUCAGUUCUGAAAAGCAGUAACCAAAAUCUCAAUAGUUCAAUAAUCAUUUUUAAGAUUAAAAAUGAAGAAUAUAGCAAAAGUGUAAUUGGACGACUAAACAAUUGACUCUUUUUUUUGGAUAGUUUAUCAUUUUGAAUGUUCAAACACAAGUUAUAUACAAUACAUUCUUACGAUUGAUCGUUUAUACUGUUGAUUCAUAACAAGAGCAAAGUAAUGGAUAAAAUUGGUC
rnacentral:lncRNA from 1 species